UGGGGAAUUUUGGACAAUGGGCGCAAGCCUGAUCCAGCCAUGCCGCGUGCGGGAAGAAGGCCUUCGGGUUGUAAACCGCUUUUGUCAGGGAAGAAAUCUUCUGAGUUAAUACCUCGGGAGGAUGACGGUACCUGAAGAAUAAGCACCGGCUAACUACGUGCCAGCAGCCGCGGUAAUACGUAGGGUGCAAGCGUUAAUCGGAAUUACUGGGCGUAAAGCGUGCGCAGGCGGUUUUGUAAGACAGAGGUGAAAUCCCCGGGCUCAACCUGGGAACUGCCUUUGUGACUGCAAGGCUUGAGUGCGGCAGAGGGGGGAUGGAAUUCCGCGUGUAGCAGUGAAAUUGCGUAGAUAUGCGGAGGAACACCGAUGGCGAAGGCAAUCCCCUGGGCCUGCACUGACGCUCAUGCACGAAAGCGUGGGGAGCAAACAGGAUUAGAUACCCUGGUAGUCCACGCCCUAAACGAUGUCAACUGGUUGUUGGGAAGGUUCCUUCUCAGUAACGUAGCUAACGCGUGAAGUUGACCGCCUGGGGAGUACGGCCGCAAGGUUGAAAGCUCAAAUGAAUUGACGGGGGCUGCA
rnacentral:rRNA from 1 species